rnacentral:sRNA from 1 species
GACAGAAUGAAAGCUGUACAGCUGGUAUAUUUU